UACGAAGGGGGCUAGCGUUGUUCGGAAUUACUGGGCGUAAAGCGCGUGUAGGCGGGUCUUUAAGUCAGGGGUGAAAUGCCAAGGCUCAACCUUGGAACUGCCUUUGAUACUGGAGACCUUGAGUCCGGGAGAGGUGAGUGGAACUCCGAGUGUAGAGGUGAAAUUCGUAGAUAUUCGGAAGAACACCAGUGGCGAAGGCGACUCACUGGCCCGUUACUGACGCUGAGGCGCGAAAGCGUGGGGAGCAAACAGG
rnacentral:rRNA from 1 species